UUAAAGGCGUGCGCCACCACGCCCGGCGAGAGUGAGGUUUUAAUGAAUGGGAAGUGAAAGAAGGAAUGCUUUAUAAAAAAUGAAGGAUUAGAAGAGAUGGCUCAGGAUCAAUAGGUUUCAAGCAGCAUGUUAACGUGCCCUAGGGGAAACUGUAAACAUGCAUGAUAACACGGUGCGGUAAGGCUAGGGAGAAGCAGGCAUAUGGGCAGUAUUGAAAUACCUGUGAAAUCGCCUUCUAACUUCAUGCUACCUCCCAAAACUCAACUCUAGUCAUAUGUUCUUAGUUUGAUUUUGGUAAACCUAGGAUCUAUAGCCCCUAGUUUGGAAUGAAAAGGAUUAAAGAGCAGCAGUGCCUUAGAAGGCUAAAUAAAAAUGCUGAGGAAUGGGUUGGUGCUGAUUUUUAAGGAAACAAUAUCUUCAAGAAAAUCAUUUAGCUCAACCUUUUCCUCCCUUGUAUGUAUGUAGAGAUAGAGACAGCAUAUGUGUGUGCCCCUGAGGUUGAUGUUGGGAAUCAUCUGCAACCACUUUCUACCUUACAUUGAAGCAGGUCUCACAUAUGGCUAGCCAGUCUGUUCUAGGGACCCUAUCUCUGCUUCCCAUAUGCUGGGAUUACAGGUGGGUCACUGUGCCCAUCUGGCUUUUUGUGGUUCUAAGAUGGCAGACUGAUGCUUGUUUGUGUGGAAGGUGUUUAACUUCUGAGCCAUAUUUAUAUAUUUAGGGUACUGUGUGAUAAUUUGAUAACUUUCCAGUGAUCAAGUUAGCAUUCCCAUGUCGUUUUUUUUUUUUGUUUGUUUUUGUUUUUUGUUUUUUUUAAGACAGUUUCUCUGUGUAGCUCUGGCUGUCCUGGAACUUGCUCUGUAGAUCAAGCUAUCCUCAAAUUUUCAGAAAUCCACCUUCCUCAGACUCAUGAGUGCUGGGUUGCACCACCACUGCCCAGCUUGUCAGUAAUUUUUAAACUUAGCAUUAGCUGCUAUGUCCAUUCUCACUAGAGGAAUAGAACAUAAUUUGCAUUUAACAAAUGUGUGUAAGCCUUUAAUCCUAGCACUUGGAAGUCAGAGGCAGGCAGAUUCUCUGAGUUUGAGGCUAGACUGGGCUAUUGUAAGUUCCAGGACAGCCAAGGCUACACAGAGAAACCCUGUCUUGG
rnacentral:lncRNA from 1 species